UGCAGUGUAGCAUAGUGGUAUGGCGCAGGGUUUGUAACCAAGAGGCUGCUGGUUCAAUUCAGGGGCACUGCUG